GUUCAUAUAGUCUGUGAAGAUAAUAUGGACUGUCUUCAGAAGAUGACAAGCCUGUGGGGCGUAAGUAAUAAGUCAUCAAUAACCGACAUUAUUGAGUUAUCGGCUGUCUGUCGGGACAGUGCUUAUUAUGAUCGUGCAGACGUUAAAAUCAGGU
rnacentral:ribozyme from 1 species